rnacentral:rRNA from 1 species
CCUACGGGAGGCAGCAGUGGGGAAUAUUGGGCAAUGGGCGAAAGCCUGACCCAGCAACGCCGCGUGAAGGAAGAAGGCUUUCGGGUUGUAAACUUCUUUUGACAGGGAGGAGCAGAAGACGGUACCUGUCGAAUAAGCCACGGCUAACUACGUGCCAGCAGCCGCGGUAAUACGUAGGUGGCAAGCGUUGUCCGGAUUUACUGGGUGUAAAGGGCGUGUAGCCGGGCUGACAAGUCAGAUGGGAAAUCCGGGGGCUCAACCCCCGAACUGCAGUUGAAACUGUUGGUCUUGAGUAUCGGAGAGGCAGGCGGAAUUCCUAGUGUAGCGGUGAAAUGCGUAGAUAUAUGGAGGAACACCAGUGGCGAAGGCGGUCGGCUGGCCUGUAACUGACGCUGAGGCACGAAAGCGUGGGGAGCAAAUAGGAUUAGAUACCCUAGUAGUC